CCAAACUUCAGUGAAGAAACACCAUCACAAACCAAACGGCUUAAGCUUGAAACAUUAGAUCCAGAUUUACAGUCUCACAGGAACCACAAGAAUUUUACAGACAGUCUCCUGCAGAUCUUCCAGGAUCUUGAGAGCAAAAUAAUCAGAUUUCUAAAGAAAGAAUUGGAAAAGUUUAAGAAAAUAUUA